CCUACGGGUGGCAGCAGUGAGGAAUAUUGGUCAAUGGACGCAAGCCUGAACCAGCCAUGCCGCGUGCAGGAUGACGGCCCUAUGAGUUGUAAACUGCUUUUGUACGGGGGUAAACGCAGAUACGCGUGCCUGUCUGAAAGUAUCGUAUGAAUAAGGAUCGGCUAACUCCGUGCCAGCAGCCGCGGUAAUACGGAGGAUUCAAGCGUUAUCCGGAUUUAUUGGGUUUAAAGGGUGCGUAGGUGGUCGGAUAAGUUAGAGGUGAAAGCCCGAGGCUCAACCUUGGAAUUGCCUUUGAUACUGGUCGGCUAGAGAGUAGUUGCGGUAGGCGGAAUGUAUGGUGUAGCGGUGAAAUGCUUAGAGAUCAUACAGAACACCGAUUGCGAAGGCAGCUUACCAAGCUACUACUGACGUUGAGGCACGAAAGCGUGGGGAGCAAACAGGAUUAGAUACCCGAGUAGUC
rnacentral:rRNA from 1 species